ACUGAGACACGGCCCAGACUCCUACGGGAGGCAGCAGUAGGGAAUCUUCCACAAUGGACGCAAGUCUGAUGGAGCAACGCCGCGUGAGUGAAGAAGGGUUUCGGCUCGUAAAGCUCUGUUGUUAAAGAAGAACGUGGGUAAGAGUAACUGUUUACCCAGUGACGGUAUUUAACCAGAAAGCCACGGCUAACUACGUGCCAGCAGCCGCGGUAAUACGUAGGUGGCAAGCGUUAUCCGGAUUUAUUGGGCGUAAAGCGAGCGCAGGCGGUCUUUUAAGUCUAAUGUGAAAGCCUUCGGCUCAACCGAAGAAGUGCAUUGGAAACUGGGAGACUUGAGUGCAGAAUAGGACAGUGGAACUCCAUGUGUAGCGGUGAAAUGCGUAGAUAUAUGGGAGAACACCAGUGGCCGAAGGCGGCUGUCUGGUCUGCAACUGACGCUGAGGCUCGAAAGCAUGGGUAGCGAACAGAAAUAGAUACCCUGGUAGUCCAUGCCGUAAACGAUGAUUACUAAGUGUUGGAAGGGUUUCCGCCCUUCAGUGCUGCAGCUAACGCCUUAAGUAAUCCGCCGGGGAAUACGACCGCAAGGUUGAACUCAAAAAAUUGACGGGGCCCGCCCAGCGGCGAACAUUUG
rnacentral:rRNA from 1 species